UACGUAGGGGGCAAGCGUUGUCCGGAAUCAUUGGGCGUAAAGAGCGCGUAGGCGGUCCGGUAAGUCGGUUGUGAAAACUGGGGGCUCAACCCUCAGAGGCCGACCGAUACUGUCGGGCUAGAGUCCGGAAGAGGCGAGUGGAAUUCCUGGUGUAGCGGUGAAAUGCGUAGAUAUCUGGAGGAACACCGGUGGCGAAGGCGGCAUCCUGGACCAACACUGACGCUGAGUGAGCGAAAGCCAGGGGAGCAAACGGG
rnacentral:rRNA from 1 species